rnacentral:lncRNA from 1 species
AUAGCGAUGUUGGAUCACAGUCCGUUUGUUUGAUGAUAGAUGAUGCGAUCCUGGAUGUCAUCCUCGGACGGCAGCUAGGGUUUGGGCAUAGCAUGCAUUCAAAAAAUCUCGCAGUUCGUCGUCCGAUCGAUCUGAUGAUGCUUCGGUGCCAGAGGCAGUCAGGAUAUCGAUGAGCAUGAUACAAGAUCAAAUUACUUAUUGGAUGAAUUGCAGUC